UACAGAGGGUGCAAGCGUUGUUCGGAAUUAUUGGGCGUAAAGCGCGUGUAGGCGGCUUUGCAAGUCGGGUGUGAAAGCCCUCAGCUCAACUGAGGAAGUGCGCCCGAAACUGCAGAGCUUGAGUGCCGGAGAGGGUGGCGGAAUUCCCCAAGUAGAGGUGAAAUUCGUAGAUAUGGGGAGGAACACCGGUGGCGAAGGUGGCUCUCUGGGACGGUACUGACGCUGAGACGCGAAAGCGUGGGGAGCGAACAGG
rnacentral:rRNA from 1 species